ensembl:lncRNA
CAGGGGGUACCGGUACAGAGUCAAUGUGGAGGCUAUAUACAGGGUAUUACGGUACAGAGUCAAUGUGGAGGCUAUAUACAGGGGGUACCGGUACAGAGUCUAUGUGGAGGCUAUAUACAGGGGGUACCAGUACAGAGUCAAUGUGGAGGCUAUAUACAGGGUAUUACGGUACAGAGUCAAUGUGGAGGCUAUAUACAGGGGGUACCGGUACAGAGUCAAUGUGGAGGCUAUAUACAGGGGCACCGGUACAGAGUCAAUGUGGAGGCUAUAUACAGGGGUACUGGUACAGAGUCAAUGUGGAGGCUAUAUACAGGGUAUUACGGUACAGAGUCAAUGUGGAGGCUAUAUACAGGGUAUUACGGUACAGAGUCAAUGUGGAGGCUAUAUACAGGGUAUUACGGUACAGAGUCAAUGUGGAGGCUAUAUACAGGGUAUUACGGUACAGAGUCAAUGUGGAGGCUAUAUACAGGGGGUACUGGUACAGAGUCAAUGUGGAGGCUAUAUACAGGGGGUACUGGUACAGAGUCAAUGUGGAGGCUAUAUACAGGGGGUACUGGUACAGAGUCAAUGUGGAGGCUAUAUACAGGGGGCACCGGUACAGAGUCAAUGUGGAGGCUAUAUACAGGGGUACUGGUACAGAGUCAAUGUGGAGGCUAUAUACAGGGGGCACCGGUACAGAGUCAAUGUGGGGGCUAUAUACAGGGGGCACCGGUACAGAGUCAAUGUGGAGGCUAUAUACAGGGGGGCACUGGUACAGAGUCAAUGUGGAGGCUAUAUACAGGGGGCACCGGUACAGAGUCAAUGUGGAGGCUAUAUACAGGGGUUACCGGUACAGAGUCAAUGUGGAGG